UCUAUAACUCCAGAUAUGGGCUAAACACUGAACAGUGUUCGGGCUGCAGGACAGAUUCGGACUUCUCCGUUGUUGCUUUAAUUUGGACUUGAAAACGGCCUUCUUAGAUCUUGAUGAAAACAUGAAAGUUGUAGGCCUAUGUCUUACCAAAUCUGUGUA
rfam:Populus trichocarpa isolate Nisqually-1 chromosome 18, whole genome shotgun sequence.